rnacentral:rRNA from 1 species
CGCAGGCGGGAAAGAAAGUCAGAUGUGAAAUUUCGGGGCUCAACCUCGAAGCUGCAUUUGAAACUUCUUUUCUUGAGGGUAGGCGGAGAAAACGGAAUUCCACAAGUAGCGGUGAAAUGCGUAGAUAUGUGGAAGAACACCUGUGGCGAAAGCGGUUUUCUAGCUUACACCUGACGCUGAGGCCCGAAAGCUAGGGGAGCAAACA